GUAGGAUCGAAAGUAUGUCUAGAGGGGGGGUGAUUAGACUACUUGACAAUAUAAAAAUUCUGCCUUUUGACAAAAAACAGUUUUUGGCAGAUUCACAAUUAUGAUCAAGUCAAGCAUCACCCUACACAUGCAAUUCUAGAGUAUAGGCAGCGGAAAGUAAAUUGCACAUGUAGUAAAGAGAGGUGGAGAAGAGCAAACGCAAUUUUGGAGACGCGGUGAUUUUUCUCAUGGUUCCGAUAGGUGGUGCUAUCGUACUUCCACGUUGAUGGAGACUUCAACCCACGGAGGGUAACGGCUGCGAGAGUCCACGGAGGGCUCCACCCACGAAGGGUCCACGAAGAAGCAACCUUGUCUAUUCCAUCAUGGCCUACGCCCACGGAGGGCUAGCCUUACUCAGGGUAGAUCUUCACGAAGUAGGCGAUCUCCUUGCCCUUACAAACUUCUUGGUUCAACUCCACAUCUCGAUGACGGAGGCUCCCAAGCGACACCUAACCAAUCUAGGAGGCACCACCCUCCAAAAGGUAAUAGAUGUUGUAGAUGAUGAUGAACUCCUUGCUCUUGUGCUUCAAAUGAUAAUCUCCCCAACACUCAACUCUCCUCACUGAUUUGGCUGUGGUGGAAGAAAGGAUUGAGUGGAAAGCAACUUGGGAAGGCUAGAGCUCAAGCUUCAUAUGGUGGGACUGGAGCAACUUGAUCUCAACACAAGGGUAGGUAGUUCUCUUCUCAGAAAUGUAAGGUAGGAGUGGUAGUUCUUUCUGAUGGCUCUCCCCACGAAUGAAGAGGGGGUGGAGGGGUAUAAAUAGCCUCCACACAAAAUCCAACCGUUACACACAUUUGAGCAAUUUCGGUGGGACCGAAGUGGACAACUCAGUGAGACCGAUAGUUCAAAUAAUGUGAACGUUGGGAUUUUCGGUGGGACCGAAAAUACAAUCUCGGUUAGUCCGAUUCGUGCAAUGACAAGAGCAUGCCAGUUUCGGUGGGACCGACUUCAUCAUCUCGGUGACACCGAUUUGAUGACAGAAGGUUACAGAAGCUUGGCAACUCAUGUUUCGGUGAGACCGAGUUCAGAAUCGGAAAAUCCGAGUUUGCUAGGGUUUGGCUUAUGGCUGAGGUGGUUCAUCUCGGUGUGACUGAGUUUGGAAUAUCGGUGGGACCGAGAUUACUUAUGAGUGUAUAUGGCAGUGAAAGUUGCUGAUAGUUUAGGAGAUGUAUCACUAAGCACUUGAGCAACCAGAUCAUCAUCAUAACCUCAUCCCCUUUUAAUAGUAUUGGCUUUUCCUAUGGACUCAAUGUGAUCUUGGAUCACUAAACCAAAAAUGGAGUCUUGAGCUUUUGCCAAAGCUUGCCUUAGCAUUUUGGGGGUCCACUUCUUCAGUCCUUGCCAUACCCAUAUCACUGAACUCUUUGAAAUGAUUCUCAAGUAACUAUUAGUUCAAUGAUAUAUAUGUUGUUAUUAAUUACCAAAACCACCCGGGGAUUAGUUGCACUUUCAACGUGUCAUCGCAAGGCCAUCCCAAGGGCACGUGGCGAGGCGCUACGCAGCCAUGCGGAGCGAGGUGGCAAACGGACCUGACAGAGGCGCCAUCGUGGCAACCGGUGGCUCACCUAACGGUCGUUUCUUUACACUGUUGGGACGACCAGACGGGCAUUUAGUGCCCUUGUCCCCUGCCGUCAGAGUUAGGUAGGGGCACUUUUGGGCACUGUUGUACCAACCUGCGAUUUUACCUUUCUACCCCCUCUUCCUACGCUGCCACCUGUGGAUCCCCCCUUUAGAGUAUAAAAGGGAGGCCCAUGCGCACGUAGAAGAGGUUCGGUCCAUUCGACACCCACAGCACCACCAUACGCUCGCACGCUCGAGCAAGAUCAAAUAACAAACACAAAGCAGCAGUAGGGGUGUUAUCUCUCCGGAGAGCCCCGAAGCUGGGUAAAAGAUUGCCCGUCUCCCCGCGCGCGCUCGACCUCGAUCUGCUCUGCGCACGCCCUCCGCUCCCUUGCCGAACCAGAAGGGGUCCCCGUGCCCCAUAGGUGCUCGAGGCCACAGAGACACGCCCCGACAUCUUUGGCGCGCCAGGUAGGGGGGCGUCGAGGUCGUGAGCAUCUGAUCCGGUCUCCACGCGCGCUACAUCAGCGUCAUCGUCAACAUGCCACCGAAGAAGAAGCCUUCGGAGGUGGCCGCUCCGUCUACAUCAAUUCCACCACCACCGCCGGAGCAAGCAGGCGGUGAGGUGGACGCCGGCGGAGGAGCGGGUGCCGCCGGUGGGUCUCACGUCAUCACCAGAUCCAAGAACAAGGCCCCGCAAGCGUCGGUGACGGUGCAGACGCGCACCCUUCCCAGGAGGUGCAAGGUCAACAACGCCCCGGUGCUCCUAGCACCGUGCUCGCAUUGGAACAAGGCCAAGCUGGUGGGUCGCGGGACGCUCGAGGUCAGCAUGCACGCCCGCAUGCUGGCGCGAGCGAGAUACGGUCGCCCGGACGGGGUGUUGCUCCUCCCAAUCUGGUUGGGAGUCCGAGCACAUCUCGCUCCUCGCGCCGCUCGUCGCCAUCGCCACCCAAGACAGCAGAGGAAGCGCUGGCCCGAGCCCAGCUGCUUCUAGAUUACCCUCCGGCGCCGCACAAGAUCGACGACUAGAGGAUGACCAUUUACAGCCUCAUCGGCUUCGCCAACGGCGACAAACCCCGGCGACCGAGCGCGUCGAGGCCCCGGCAAGGCGCCCAGGCGCAAGCCGACGCCGACAAGACCGCUGGGGGUGCCACCUCUGUGCACUCCCAGCCCCGAAGGCCAAGAUCGCCAGCUCGCCGGACCAACACCGACGGCGACUCCACCGCGUCGUCGGACCCGCGAACUCGCCGCGAUCAACGCCACGUCCUCCAAGAACGGCAACACGAAGACGCUCGCACCCGCAUCGAGCGCCGGAGAGAAGCGCGACGUCAAUCUGACCAGUGCACUGGGCCCACUGUCGACGCGCACGCACCCGGAGAACCAGGCGACUUGCCGUACGCGGCAGGUUGCCCUGCGUUCACCCGCGAGUAGCGGCAAGUCCAGUGGCCCAAAACCAAGAACUUCAAGCCAGACGUGCCCGAGAAGUAUGAUGGCAGGAUACAUCCGUCGGAGUUCCUUAGCAUCUACACCAUCGCGGUGCAGGCUGCCGGAGGGCGCGACGAGAAGAUCCUCGCCAACUACUUCCCACUGGUACUCAAGCCCAACGUCAGAUCUUGGCUCAUGCACUUGCCGGACGGCUCCAUCUCUUCAUGGGCGGAGCUGUGUCAUCAGUUUGUCGGCGCCUUCACGGGUGGCCACAAGCCUCAUGGCCAGGAGAGUGACCUCCACUUGCUCAUCCAGAAGGAGGGGGAGCCCCUGCGCAAGUACAUACAAAGAUUCAGCCAGGUGCAGCGCAACAUCCCAGACGUCCACCCUGCCGCGGUUAUUAGCGCGUUUCAUCAGAACGUGCGUAAUCGCAGGAUGAGGGAGGAGAUGGCGAUGUGCAAGAUCAGAGAUGUCAGCGAGCUCUACGCUCUGGCCGACAAGUGUGCACGGGCUGAGGAGGGGAGGAAAAUCCCCGGAGAGGUUGCCGGAGCAGAAGGAUCUGACAGUGAGGAUGCCGCCCCGGCAAGGAAGAACCGGAGGCGGAACAAUAGGAAGAGAAAAGCUAAGGAUGUACUAGCUGUUGAGCAUUCCGGCAACGGAGGCGGCUCCGACAAGGCCAAAACCGACGACUCCGGCGAGGCUGUAGCAGCCGCUGACAAGCAGGACGGAUCCGGCAAGCGAUAUUGCAAGAUCCACCGCACCAAAGGCCAUGACCUCCAAACCUGCAAAAAAGUAGAGCAGUUGGCGGAGCUGCAAAAAGCUCAGUAUGAGCGCCGCGAUAAGGAGAGAGCCCAGGGAGGUGGCGGAGGAUCCGGCAAGAAGCUUCCCGCCCAGGGAGGACACCGCGGCAAGGCCAAAACGCGGCAAGGAGACAGGCCUCCCCGCGGCCGCGACAAGGACGAAGAUGAAGAUGAGGAUGAUGUAGGAUCGAAAGUAUGUCUAGAGGGGGGGGUGAUUAGACUACUUGACAAUAUAAAAAUUCAGCCUUUUGACAAAGACAAGUUUUUGGCAGAUUCACAAAUAUGAUCAAGUCAAGUAUCACCCUACACAUGCAAUUCUAGAGUAUAGGCAGCGGCAAGUAAAUUGCACAUGUAGUAAAGAGAGGUGGAGAAGAGCAAACGCAAUUUUGGAGACACGGUGAUUUUUCUCGUGGUUCCGAUAGGUGGUGCUAUCAUACUUCCACGUUGAUGGAGACUUCAACCCACGGAGGGUAACGGCUGCGAGAGUCCACGGAGGGCUCCACCCACGAAGGGUCCACGAAGAAGCAACCUUGUCUAUGCCAUCAUGGCCUACGCCCACGGAGGACUAGCCUUACUCGGGGUAGAUCUUCACGAAGUAGGCGAUCUCCUUGCCCUUACAAACUUCUUGGUUCAACUCCACAUCUCGACGGAGGCUCCCAAGCGACACCUAACCAAUCUAGGAGGCGCCACCCUCCAAAAGGUAAUAGAUGGUGUUGAUGAUGAUGAACUCCUUGCUCUUGUGCUUCAAAUGAUAAUCUCCCCAACACUCAACUCUCCUCACUGAUUUGGCUGUGGUGGAAGAAGGAUUUGAGUGGAAAGCAACUUGGGAAGGCUAGAGAUCAAGCUUCAUAUGAUGGGAGUGGAGCAACUUGAUCUCAACACAAGGGUAGGUAGUUCUCUUCUCAGAAAUGUAAGGUAGGAGUGGUAGUUCUUUCUGAUGGCUCUCUCCACGAAUGAAGAGGGGGUGGAGGGGUAUUUAUAGCCUCCACACAAAAUCCAACCGUUACACACAUUUGACCAAUCUCGGUGGGACCGAAGUUGACAACUCGGUGAGACCGAAAGUUCAAAUAAUGUGAACGUUGGGAUUUUCGGUGGGACCGAAACUACAAUCUCGGUUUGUCCGAUCCAUGCAAAGACAAGAGCUUGCCAAUCCCGGUGGGACCGACUUCAUCAUCUCGGUGACACCGAUUUGAUGACAGAAGGUUACAGAAGCUUGGCAACUCAAGUUUCGGUGAGACCGAGUUCAGAAUCGGAAAAUCCGAGUUUUCUAGGGUUUGGCUUUGUGGCUGAGGUGGUUCAUCUCGGUGUGACUGGGUUUGGAAAAUCGGUGGGACCGAGAUUACUUAUGAGUGUAUAUGGCAGUGAAAGUUGCUGAUAGUUUAGGAGAUGUAUCACUAAGCACUUUGAGCAACCAGAUCAUCAUCAUAACCUCAUCCCCUUUUAAUAGUAUUGGCUUUCCUAUGGACUCAAUGUGAUCUUGGAUCACUAAACCAAAAAUGGAGUCUUGAGCUUUUGCCAAUGCUUGCCUUAGCAUUUUGAGGGGUCCACUUCUUCAGUCCUUGCCAUACCCAUAUCACUGAACUUUCUGAAAUGAUUCUCAAGUAACUAUUAGUUCAAUGAUAUAUAUGUUGUUAUUAAUUACCAAAACCACCCGGGGAUUAGUUGCACUUUCAAUCUCCCCCUUUUUGGUAAUUGAUGACAACAUAUAGAUCAAAGCUUCGACAAAGGAUAUAAUCAAUG
rnacentral:lncRNA from 1 species